UCACUGAAAACCAUCUUAAAAGCAUUAAGAAAAUCAUAUACCAAUUAAAUACACAUCAAACAAAAUAAAUAAAUGCUGGUUUAAAAAAAGACUAAAGAAGCUUUGUAAACAGAAGGAAAACCUAUAUAGAAAAUUUAAAGAAACUAAGGCAGAAAGAGUUUACAAAAGUAUAUAAAAAUUAAACACUUAACCCAAAAAGUAAGCAGACAGCUGCAGAGUGAAUAUACAAACAAUGUAAUAUCUAAAGAUAACAACAAAAACCUAUGGUCA